rnacentral:tRNA from 1 species
AUUUAUAUAUUAUAAAAAGUAAUUUUAAUUUCCAAUUAAAAAGUUUAAUUAAUUUUAAUAUAAAUA